rnacentral:rRNA from 1 species
GAUUCCCUCAGUAAGGGCGACUGAAGCGGGAAUAGCUCACCGUGUGAAUCUGUACAAGUUUAUCUUGUGCCGAGUUGUGGUCUGUAGAAGUAUUGUCAGUCAGCGUUUCGGGCCAAGUCCUUUGGAAAAAGGCAGCUGAGAGGGUGAGACUCCCGUUCUUGCCUGCGACGUUUGACUAUGGCACAUGCCUUCGACGAGUCGAGUUGUUUGGGAUUGCAGCUCAAAGUGGGUGGUAAAUUCCAUCUAAAGCUAAAUAUUGGUGGGAGACCGAUAGCGUACAAGUACCGUGAGGGAAAGAUGCAAAGAACUUUGAAAAGAGAGUUAAAGAGUACCUGAAAUUGCUGAGAGGGAAGCGAAGGAAACCAGUGUUGUUUCUAUGUAUUUUUCUUCUGCAGCUUGCUGCAGUGGCGUGUGCAUAGGAGUAGGCCAGCAUGGGUUUGCAUCGGCAGAAAUCUCUGUGCAGGAGGCAGAUCUAUUUCGGAUCGAUUACUGUGCAGUGUUGUGCUGGUGUGGGCUGAGGCAAGCAUGUGUGAUGCUGGCGAAAUGGUUUUCUUUACCCCGUCUUGAAACACGGACCAAGGAGUUCAACAUAUGUGCGAGUAUAGGAGUGGCAAACUCCCAUGCGUAAUGAAAGUAACAGUGGUAGGACCUUCUGGGCACUAUCCGCCGGCCACAAUCCUUCGGGAGAAAGGUCUGAGUGUGAGCAUACAUGUUGGGACCCGAAAGAUGGUGAACUAUGCCUGAAUA